rnacentral:snRNA from 1 species
AGCUUUGCGCAGUGGCAGUAUCGUAGCCAAUGAGGUUUAUCCGAGGCGCGAUUAUUGCUAAUUGAAAACUUUUCUCAAGUUCCCUGGAACUCAGUAGCCUUAACAAAAGG